rnacentral:rRNA from 1 species
GAAAACUUGUAUUUAAAACCCCACUCUUAUAAAUUGAAUCAUUUUAUAUUAUGUAUGUAAUAAAUAAAGAUCACUUUCAACAACGGAUCUCUUGGCUCUCGCAUCGAUGAAGAACGUAGCGAAGUGCGAUAAGUAAUGUGAAUUGCAGAAU